AGAGCACAGGGCGGAUGCCUUGGCACCAAGAGCCGAAGAAGGACGUGGUAAGCUGCGAAAAGCCAUGGGGAGCUGCAAACAAGCUACGAGCCAUGGAUGUCCGAAUGGGGAAACCCGGCGGCGGGAAAGCGCCGUCAACGUAAGAUGAAUCAAUAGUCUUACGUGGGGAACCCGGUGAACUGAAACAUCUAAGUAGCCGGAGGAAGAGAAAGAAACAUCGAUUUUCAAAGUAGCGGCGAGCGAAAUGGAAAGAGCCCAAACCGAACCUCUACGGAGGAUCGGGGUUUAGGACCAGCGAAAUCAAAGCAGCGCGUAGUUGAAGAGCAGUGGAAGCUGCCACCGGAGAGGGUAAAAGUCCCGUAAGCGAAAGGCGGUGUGAGAGGCUGGGAUCCAGAGUACCACAGGACACGAGGAAUCCGGUGGGAAGACGGGGGGCCCACCCCCCAAGGCUAAAUACUACUUGGUGACCGAUAGCGAAUAGUACCGUGAGGGAAAGGUGAAAAGCACCCCGGGAGGGGAGUGAAAGAGUACCUGAAACCCUGUGUUUACAAGCAGUGGGAGCGAAAGCGACCACGUACUUUUUGUAGAACGGGCCGGCGAGUUACUGUAGGCAGCGAGGUUAAGGUGUAGAGCACCGGAGCCGAAGCGAAAGCGAGUCUCAAAUGGGCGAAAGUUGCGUGCAGUAGACCCGAAACCGGGUGACCUAUCCAUGGACAGGAUGAAGCGGUGGUAAAGCACUGUGGAGGUCCGAACCACACGUACGUUGAAAAGUGCGGGGAUGAGCUGUGGAUAGCGGAGAAAUUCCAAUCGAACUCGGAGAUAGCUGGUUCUCCCCGAAAUAGCUUUAGGGCUAGCCUCGAUUUAGAUUCAUGGGGGUAGAGCACUGAAUGGGCUAGGGGGCCACAAAGCUUACCGAACCCUAUCAAACUACGAAUACCAAGGAAUCGAUGAUCGGGAGUCAGACAGUGAGAGAUAAGUUCCAUUGUCGAGAGGGAAACAGCCCAGACCUACGACUAAGGUCCCAAAGUACACGUUAAGUGGAAAAGGAUGUGCAGUUGCACAGACAACCAGGAUGUUGGCUUAGAAGCAGCCACUCAUUUAAAGAGUGCGUAAUAGCUCACUGGUCGAGUGAAUGUGCGCCGAAAAUGUACCGGGGCUAAACGUGACACCGAAGUCUAGGGAUCAGAAAUGAUCGGUAGGGGAGCAACGUAUACGGGAAGAAGCGUAAGCGGAAGCGAGCGUGGACUGUAUGGGAGAGAGAAUGCCGGCAUGAGUAGCGAGAGCAAAGUGAGAAUCUUUGCCGUCGAAAGCCUAAGGUUUCCUGAGGUAGGCUCGUCCACUCAGGGUAAGUCGGGACCUAAGCCGAGGACAGAAGUCGUAGGCGAUGGACAUCAGGUUGAUAUUCCUGAACCGUCUUUAGCGUUAGACAGAAGCAGUGACACAGAAGGAUAGACAGAGCGGAGGAAUGGAAGACUCCGUCCAAGCGGUGAGGCAGUAACGUAGUGAAGUACGCGUUGCAAUGCUGGGCCGUGAAGGGGACCGAAAAUAAGUAGGGAAGCUGUUGAAUUCACGCUGGCGAGAAAAGCUGCUAUGGAGCGAAAAGGCGCCCGUACCGCAAACCGACACAGGUAGGCGAGGAGAGAAUCCUAAGACGAGCGGGAGAACCCUUGUUAAGGAACUCGGCAAAAUGACCCCGUAACUUCGGGAGAAGGGGUGCCUCGAGAGAGGCCGCAGAGAAUAGGCCCAAGCGACUGUUUACCAAAAACACAGGUCUGUGCGAAGUAGAGAUACGACGUAUACGGGCUGACGCCUGCCCAGUGCCGGAAGGUUAAGGGGAAGUGUAAGGGCAACCGAAGCACGGAACUUAAGCCCCGGUGAACGGCGGCCGUAACUAUAACGGUCCUAAGGUAGCGAAAUUCCUUGUCGGGUAAGUUCCGACCCGCACGAAUGGCGUAACGACUUGGGCACUGUCUCAACAAGGGACCCGGCGAAAUUGUAGUAUGUGUGAAGAUGCACAUUACCCGCGAUAGGACGGAAAGACCCCGUAGAGCUUUACUGUAGUUUAACAUUGGAUUUUGAUAACAUAUGUACAGGAUAGGUGGGAGACGGAGAACUGCGGACGCCAGUCUGCAGGGAGUCAACCUUGGGAUACCACUCUUGUGUUAUUGGAAUUCUAACGAGAUGCCGUGAUCCGGGUUUCGGACAGUGUUAGAUGGGCAGUUUGACUGGGGCGGUCGCCUCCGAAAGAGUAACGGAGGCGUCCAAAGGUUCCCUCAGAAUGGUUGGAAACCAUUCGCAGAGUGCAAAGGCAGAAGGGAGCUUGACUGCGAGACCGACAGGUCGAGCAGGUACGAAAGUAGGGCUUAGUGAUCCGGCGGUAUGAGAGUGGAAUUGC
rnacentral:rRNA from 1 species